rnacentral:rRNA from 1 species
AGUCACUGACAUUAGAUACCCGCGUAGUCCAGGGUGUAAACGCUGCAGACUUGGUGUUGGAACCCUUCGGGGGUGCUCAGUGCCGGAGAGAAGUUGUUAAGUCUGCUACUUGGGAGUACGUCCGCAAGGAUGAAACUUAAAGGAAUUGGCGGGGAGCACCACAACGGGUGGAGCCUGCGGUUUAAUCGGACUCAACGCCGGGAAUCUCACCGGAUAAGACAGCUGAAUGAUAGUCGGGAUGAAGACUCUACUUGACUAGCUG